rnacentral:rRNA from 1 species
GUCUACUAGUUGUCGGGUCUUAAUUGACUUGGUAACGCAGCUAACGCGUGAAGUAGACCGCCUGGGGAGUACGGUCGCAAGAUUAAAACUCAAAGGAAUUGACGGGGACCCGCACAAGCGGUGGAUGAUGUGGAUUAAUUCGAUGCAACGCGAAAAACCUUACCUACCCUUGACAUGGAUGGAAUCCCGGAGAGAUUUGGGAGUGCUCGAAAGAGAACCAUUACACAGGUGCUGCAUGGCUGUCGUCAGCUCGUGUCGUGAGAUGUUGGGUUAAGUCCCGCAACGAGCGCAACCCUUGUCAUUAGUUGCUACGAAAGGGCACUCUAAUGAGACUGCCGGUGACAAACCGGAGGAAGGUGGGGAUGACGUCAAGUCCUCAUGGCCCUUAUGGGUAGGGCUUCACACGUCAUACAAUGGUACAUACAGAGCGCCGCCAACCCGCGAGGGGGAGCUAAUCGCAGAAAGUGUAUCGUAGUCCGGAUUGUAGUCUGCAACUCGACUGCAUGAAGUUGGAAUCGCUAGUAAUCGCGGAUCAGCAUGUCGCGGUGAAUACGUUCCCGGGUCUUGUACACACCGCCCGUCACACCAUGGGAGCGGGUUUUACCAGAAGUAGGUAGCUUAACCGCAAGGAGGGCGCUUACCACGGUAGGAUUCGUGACCUGGGGUGAAGUCGUAACAAGGUAAGCCCGUAUCCGGAAGGUGC